rnacentral:rRNA from 1 species
UCCAGACUCCUACGGGAGGCAGCAGUAGGGCCUCUUUCUCAGUGGUUGCCCCCCUGAACCAGCCCCGCCGCGUUUCUGCUGAAGGUUUUCUGCUUGUAAACUCCUUUUGUUAGAGACGCUCAUGACGGUCUCUAACGAAUAAGCACCGGCUAACUCCGUGCCAGCAGCCGCGGUAAUACGGAGGGUGCAAGCGUUACUCGGAAUCACUGGGCGUAAAGAGCGCGGAGGCGGUAUGUCAAGUCAAGGGUGAAAUCCCCGCGCUCAACGUGGGAACUGCCUUUGAAACUUGCAAACUGGAGUGUGUGAGAGGAUAGUGGAAUUCCAGGUGUAGGAGUGAAAUCCGUAGAUAUCUGGAGGAACAUCAGUGGCGAAGGCGACUAUCUGGCACAUAACUGACGCUGAGGAGCGAAAGCGUGGGUAGCAAACAGGAUUAGAUACCCCCGUA